ensembl:ncRNA lncRNA:CR45166 long non-coding RNA:CR45166
GAAUGCCUGACUAAUUGCGAAAUGUUUGCCGGGAAGACUUCCCAGGAAUUCUCGAAGAGACCGGCAGACACGUCCCAGUCGUUGGAGCCGAGCUCGCCGUGAUUCGAUGUUUGUCACAUAAUUGUUUAAUUGCACGUAGGGCAGAUGGAAGUGGAUAUCGAUCAUGUCGAAAACCAUAUACGAAUACAUCACCCAAUGGGCACAGCCAUUUGCAGUCAUUCUGCAAUCACUUUAGCACUUUUGACAAACCAACCAUCGCCUAAGAUUAUGCUACGUCUAUUUAAGGAAUCCACAAGUUGGAGGGCAGCGGUCUAAUAGAGUGGGGAACUGGUUUCCCGAUCCAGAAAUACUCCAACGGGUGAUGUAACAGAGAACUCCACAUUUUGUUGUAUCAGACGACUCGUAAACAUGUCUACGACACACGACCUAUAACGGAACCCAAAAACCAUGAGUCCCACCCAAACGAAAAAGUUCCUAACCCAUUAAUCGCACACCGAAAGAAAUAGUCGAGCAUUAAGAAUAGGAAACCAAGAGGCAGAGGCUGAUUUGCUUUGUAGCGAGAUGGAGAAAUACAUUCGUAAAAAGUAAAGAUAAGUUCUAAAGACGGAAACUCAACGAUAAUACAAUAAGUUCAAGGGCACAUAUUUCCAAAAAAUUUGUUGCCAACUCAAGAGCUUUGCUGAAUAUUUUUUUGUUCAGUGGCAUGACCAACCUUCAUCUGCAUUCAAAUGUCGUCAUAUAUCAAGCAGCAAUAUCGCGGGAUAUUGAACUCUUCGAAUUCAUUUGGAAAAAUGCAGGGCUGGCAGAACGAUCAUGGAAGUGGAAUGAGAAGUGGAAAGAUCCCACAAAGCCCCUACAAGCAUUUAUAUCAUAUGCAAAUUAAUGAGCGCAGUUAUUAGAACGGUGCUUGAUCGAUCCGAGAUCGAGAUCGAGUUCGAGCUGGAGCUGGAGCUGGGGAUGGAGAUGGAGAUGGACACAGAAGAAAGAAAGGCAUCCCAAAUUUGGGCCACUGCAUGGGUUAUUCUAAUGAGG